CGGGGUGCACCAGGCGCGAAAACUUUACAAUGCUGGCAACAGCGAUAAGGGGACCUCGAGUGCCAGGAUACAAUCUUGGCUGUCGCGAUGCCUAAAAAGCAUUGCAUAGCAAGGGCCGGGCAAGACCGGUGCCAGCCGCCGCGGUAACACCGGCGGUUCGAGUGGUAACCGCUAUUAUUGGGUCUAAAGGGUCUGUAGCCGGCCGGAUAAGUCUUUUGGGAAAUCCAGCUGCUCAACAGUUGGGCUUUCAGAAGAUACUGUUCGGCUCGAGACCGGGAGAGGUGAGAGGUACUUCAGGGGUAGGGGUGAAAUCUUGUAAUCCUUGAAGGACCACCAGUGGCGAAGGCGUCUCACCAGAACGGAUCUGACGGCAAGGGACGAAAGCUAGGGGCACGAACCGGAUUAGAUACCCGGGUAGUCCUAGCCGUAAACGAUACUCGCUAGGUGUCAGCCACGGUGCGACCGUGGUUGGUGCCGUAGGGAAGCCGUGAAGCGAGCCACCUGGGAAGUACGGCCGCAAGGCUGAAACUUAAAGGAAUUGGCGGGGGAGCACAAG
rnacentral:rRNA from 1 species